rnacentral:misc_RNA from 1 species
AAGUCGUAACAAGGUUUCCGUAGGUGAACCUGCGGAAGGAUCAUUAAAAAUUUAUAUCCGGGAAUUCGUUUCGUUUUCCCGUGAUUAUUUGUAUUCAAAUCCCACUCUUUAUAAAUAUAUUAAUUAUAUAAAACAAAAAUAAAAAAAGAAAACUUUCAACAACGGAUCUCUUGGCUCUC